rnacentral:rRNA from 1 species
UACGGAGGGCGCGAGCGUUGUCCGGAAUCACUGGGCGUAAAGCGCACGUAGGCGGACUCUUAAGUCGGUGGUGAAAUCCUGGAGCUCAACUCCAGAACUGCCUUCGAUACUGGGGAGUCUCGAGUACGGAAGAGGCGAGUGGAAUUCCUGGUGUAGCGGUGAAAUGCGCAGAUAUCAGGAGGAACACCAAUUGCGAAGGCAGCUCGCUGGGACGUAACUGACGCUGAGACGCGAAAGCGUGGGGAGCAAACAGG